CCGGCACGGUGAGUAACGCGUAUGCAACUUGCCUAUCAGGAGGGGACAACCCGGCGAAAGUCGGACUAAUACCGCAUGAAGCAGGGAUCCCGCAUGGGAAUAUUUGCUAAAGAUUCAUCGCUGAUAGAUAGGCAUGCGUUCCAUUAGGCAGUUGGCGGGGUAACGGCCCACCAAACCGACGAUGGAUAGGGGUUCUGAGAGGAAGGUCCCCCACAUUGGUACUGAGACACGGACCAA
rnacentral:rRNA from 1 species